CGACAUCAACCAUCUUGGGAUCGAUCGCUUGGUUCAGCCUCAGAGACUAGAGCGCUUUAAGGGGUUCAACAUAGGGAUUUAAAGAUGACAAAAAGGUGACUAUUACGUUCUCUAACUCUCCUAGCGGAACAAGACCAUUAAACCAGGAGUGUGCUCAGGAGUCCGUUAGACCCGGCAACGAACAGACUUGGAAACGAAGAAGAAGUCGAAGCAGCUGCGACGAAGUCAAUAGAAGUCUCCUCGGCACCGAACCCAGGAGAGGACCGUGGAUAACGCUCAGGUGCUGCUUGUUCCUAGCGCCAAGAGUGUUUAAUGCGGUCGGGUAGUCAAGCUCUAGUGCUUGUUUUGGGCGCCUCUAGCUCGAUCCUUUCUAGCUUGCUUUGAGAUGUCUUUGCCUCUACCCUUCUCUAGCCACCAUGGUUAAGGUUUCGUCGCCGCCGUCACGGGAGUAGAGGGGGCGGCAGGCACCUCCGCCCGCUCCGAGCCCCGCGGUGCGCGCGGAGACGGCGCACCCACCACUCCCGACGGAGCCGAUUCGCGCAGCGGCAGCACCCCUCUCCUCCUCCUUCUCAUCUUUACCCGGACGGAGCGGCCUACGGGCGCUGGACAAGCUGCCUUACGCCGACGCCGGUUGCGGCGCGCCACCGUAUUCUUUCUCGGGUUUCGACCUGUCGUACGUUUGAAGACUGGUGCUUUUUAUUAGUUUCUACACGGCUCGUUCGUAACUCUAGAUCCGCGCAUAUACCCAACCGCGUUGCUUCUUCCCCUUGCCUGGAACCUCCAACGACAGCUCGGUAAACCUGACGGACCACGCCUACACCGAGCGGGUGGUGGUGCUCAUCCGCAACGACCGGCGGGCGACGUCGUAGGACGGAGAGGAGGCGGCGGCGCGAAGAGGUCGGCGGCCUGAGCUUGACCUUCCAGUCGUUACACGUAACGGAUGUAAACGUCGCACCUACAUACAGUAGAAGAUUCUACUUGCUCUGCCGCCGCCGCCUCUCCUCCUUCUUGUCUCCUCUUCCCCGUCUCGUCCUUGGCUUAUGAAGCAUCGUUAGAAGGCCGCCUCUACGAACUAAGUAACCGUCUUCUUGCCUUCGCCCGUCAUCCACCAUCACCUUCUCUUCACCACCACUACCGUACCACGUCCCGAGACCCUCGAGAUCAGAGACUCUACACCCAGGGCCCCCACACACGACAGGACCCAGCGCCGGACACGACGACGAGCACGAGCCGUGCAGCCCUACACGUGCUGCAACCCGGUCUUCAUCGAGACUCUACCCGGCACCCGAGUUGAACACGGAAGCGGAGAAAAAAAAACGUACAGAAAAGGAAAAAGGAAAAGAAAACGUCUUAACCACAGUCAUCGUUCAAUUUCGACUACGUUUGUCUAUUCCACAACAAAACAAGAAUCUUUUUCAUUUUUAUUUUUCUAUUCUUUAAAGAAAACCUGUGGAUGUCUACGUACAUACAAACUAUACAAUAAUAGACGUUACCGG
rnacentral:rRNA from 1 species